GUGUGGAAUAGUGUCAGCAGGUAGUGGAAUAGUGUCAGCAGGUAGUGGAAUAGUGUCAGCAUGGUGUGGAAUAGUGUCAGCAUGGUGUUGAAUAGUGUCAGCAGGUAGUGGAAUAGUGUCAGCAGGUAGUGGCUUAGUGUCAGCAUGGUGUGGAAUAGCGUCAGCAGGUAGUGGAAUGGUGUCAGCAUGGUGUGGAAUGGUGUCAGCAUGGUGUGGAAUAGUGUCAGCAGGUAGUGGAAUAGUGUCAGCAUGGUGUGGAAUAGUGUCAGCAUGGUGUUGAAUAGUGUCAGCAGGUAGUGGAAUAGUGU
ensembl:lncRNA